rnacentral:lncRNA from 1 species
AUGCGGGCACGGGCCGUGCUGGGCGUGGUGCUGGCCGUCACCUGUGCCGGAGCCAUCUUCUCCUUCCUCCUGAGACCCGGGGGCCUCCUUUGGGGAGACACCGAGGAGUCUCAGGUCAGGGGCAUCGUGGAGGCCAGCAGGCUCCUGGUGGACGAGUCCAUCUACGCUGCGAUGAGAAGAAACCUCCACAAAAGGGAAGUCAUUUCCCCAUCGCAACUUCUGUCUUUUUCCAAACUCCCUGAGCCCACGAGCCGAGCUGCAUCCCGGGCGGCGGAGGUCAUGGAGGCCUCGGUGCAGGAGGCGGUGAGGCGGGGUCACCUGCAGUCUGGACCCUCCCGGCUGCCCACAGAUGCUCUCUCGGAGGGGCUGCUGAGCGCGAUCGCAAACCUGUCCGGAUGCCUGCCUCACAUGCUGCCGCCCAGAUGUCCGGCCACCUGCCUGGUCAGCAAGUACAGGCUCAUCACGGGCGCCUGCAACAACAGAGACCACCCGCGCUGGGGAGCCUCCAACACAGCGCUGGCCAGAUGGCUGCCCCCCGCCUACGAGGACGGCAUCAGUGAGCCCCGAGGCUGGAACCCCCACUUCCUGUACAGAGGCUUUCCCCUGCCGCCGGUCCGGGAGGUGACCAGACGCAUCAUACACGCCUCCAAUGAGGCUGUGACGGGGGACGACCGGUACUCUGACCUCCUGACGGCCUGGGGCCAGUACAUCGACCACGACGUGGCCUUCACGCCGCAGAGCGCGGGCCCCCCUGCCCCCGGGGCGGGGGCCGACUGCCAGCUGACCUGCGAGCCAAGCCCAUGCUUUCCCAUACAGCUCCCCGCGAACGCUGCGGGCCCCGCCUGUCUGCCCUUUCACCGCUCCACGGCCGCCUGCGGCACCGGGACCCAAGGCGCCGUGUUCGGCAACCUGUCUGCCGCCAACCCGCGCCAGCAGAUGAACGGGCUGACCUCGUUCCUGGACGCGUCCACCGUGUACGGCAGCUCCGCGGCCUCGGAGCGGCGGCUGCGGAACUGGACCAGCGCCGAGGGGCUGCUGCGCGUCAACGUGCGCUACCGGGACGCGGGCCGCGCCUUCCUGCCCUUCGCGCCGCCGUCCGCGCCCCCGGCUUGCGCUCCCCCGCCCGGCGCGCCCGGAGCCCGCGCACCCUGCUUCCUGGCCGGCGACGGCCGCGCCAGCGAGGUCCCCGCCCUGGCGGCCUUGCACACACUGUGGCUGCGAGAGCACAACCGCCUGGCCUCCGCGCUCAAGGCCCUCAACGCGCACUGGAGCGCGGAUACCGCCUACCAGGAGGCGCGCAAGGUGGUGGGCGCGCUGCACCAGAUCAUCACGCUGCGCGAUUAUGUCCCCAGAAUCCUGGGCCCCGAGGCCUUUGGACGGCACGUGGGCCCCUACAGAGGCUACGACCCCAGCGUGGACCCCUCCGUGUCCAACGUGUUCUCCACGGCGGCCUUCCGCUUCGGCCAUGCCACCAUCCACCCACUGGUGCGGCGGCUGGACGCCCGCUUCCAGGAGCACCCGGGGUCCCGCCUGCCGCUCAGGGACGCCUUCUUCCGGCCCUGGCGGCUCCUCGAGGAAGGCGGCGUGGACCCCGUCAUGCGGGGUCUGCUGGCGAGAGCGGCCAAGCUGCAGGUGCAGGACCAGCUGCUGAACGAGGAGCUGACGGAGAGGCUCUUCGUGCUCUCGGACGCGGGGACCCUGGACCUGGCGUCCAUCAACCUGCAGCGGGGCCGGGACCACGGCCUGCCAGGGUACAAUGAGUGGCGGCAGUUCUGCGGCUUGUCCAGGCUGGAGACCCGGGCCGACCUGGGCGCGGCCACCGCCAAUGGGAGCAUGGCCGACAGAAUCCUGGCCCUGUACGGGCACCCCGACAACAUCGACGUGUGGCUGGGCGGCCUGGCGGAGAGCUUCCUCCCGGGGGCGCGGACUGGUCCGCUGUUCGCCUGCCUCGUGGGAAAGCAGAUGAAGGCCCUGAGGGAUGGCGACCGGUUCUGGUGGGAGCACCACGGGGUGUUCACCGAGGCCCAACGGCGCGAGCUGGGCCGGCACUCGCUGUCCCGCGUCAUCUGCGACAACACGGGCCUCACCCACGUGCCCCGCGACGCCUUCCGGGUGGGGCAGUGGCCCCAGGACUUCGAGUCAUGUGACCGUAUCCCGGGGAUGGACCUGCGCGCCUGGCGGGAAGCCCCUCCUCCAGACGACGCCUGUGGCUUCCCGGACAACGUGGAGAACGGGGGCUUCCUGCUCUGCAACGAGUCUGGGCGGAGGCUGCUGGUGUUCUCCUGUCAUCACGGAUUCCAGCUCCAAGGGCCUGAGCAGCUCACCUGCACCCGGCGCGGCUGGGACUCCCAGCCCCCGGUCUGUCGAGACUCCGGGAGGCUCCCGCGGGCGUCUGUGGUCUCCCUGGUGCUAGGCGCCGUGCUCAUCUGCGGUCUGGCUGGCCUCACCUGGACGGUGGUUUGCAGG